AAAGCGUGAUGUGGACAAGCAUUGAGAAGGUCCUUGAAUCGUUCCCAUGCUUGAGUAAAGUUUUCAUUAGGUUUGCAGGAAAAAUUCAUCAUUUGCAUUUGGAGAUU